rnacentral:rRNA from 1 species
AAAGAAAAUAACAGUGAUUCCCCUAGUAACUGCGAGUGAAGAGGGACAAGCUCAAAUUUUAAAUCUAUCGGGUUUUGCCCGAUCGAGUUGUAAUUUGAAGAAGCGUUUUCCGCGUAUUUGGUCAACCCAAGUCCUAUUGAAUGAGGCAUCAUGGAGGGUGAUAAUCCCGUCCGGUUGAUCAUUUGCGUUUUACGAUACGCUUUCUAAGAGUCAGAGUUGUUUGGGAUUGCAGCUUAAAAUGGGUGGUAAAUUUCUCCUAAGGCUAAAUAACGGCGAGAGACCGAUAGCGAACAAGUACCGUGAGGGAAAGAUGAAAAGAACUUUGAAAAGAGAGUUAAACAGUACGUGAAAUUGUUGAAAGGGAAACGAUUGAAGCCAGUCGUACCUUCGGGUAAUCAGCCUUUCGGGUGCAAU